rnacentral:rRNA from 1 species
GGUAAAAAAGCUCGUAGUUGGAUUUCUGUUGAGGAGGGCCGGUCUGGGCUACGCCCAUGUAUCUGGUUCCACCUCGGCAUCCUCUCGAUUUGGAUUCCUGCGCUUAGUUGCGUGGGGUUUGUAUCGGGACUUUUACUUUGAGGAAAUUAGAGUGUUCACGGCAGGCUAUCGCCAGAAUACAUUAGCAUGGAAUAAUACUAUAGGAUCUCGGUUCUAUUUUGUUGGUUUCUAGAAUCGCGAUAAUGAUUAAUAGGGACAAUUGGGGGCAUUCGUAUCAACACGUCAGAGGUGGAAUUCUUGGAUUGUGUUGCGACGAACUACUGCGAAAGCAUUUGCCAAGGAUGUUUUCAUUGAUCAAGAACGAAAGUAAGGGGAUCGAAGACGAUUAGAUACCGUCGUAGUCUUUACCAUAAACUAUGCCAACUAGAGAUGGGGCAUCGUUCACUUACGACUUGCUCCGCACCUUAUGAGAUAUCAAAGUUUUUGGGUUCCGGGGGGAGUAUGGUCGCAAGGCUGAAACUUAAAGGAAUUGACGGAAGGGCACCACCAGGAGUGGAGCCUGCGGCUUAAUUUGACUCAACACGGGGAAACUCACCAGGUCCAGACAUAAUAAGGAUUGACAGAUUGAUAGCUCUUUCUUGAUUUUAUGGGUGGUGGUGCAUGGCCGUUCUUAGUUCGUGGAGUGAUUUGUCUGCUUAAUUGCGUUAA